rnacentral:rRNA from 1 species
UACGUAGGGUGCGAGCGUUAAUCGGAAUUACUGGGCGUAAAGCGUGCGCAGGCGGUUCGUUGUGUCCGAUGUGAAAGCCCCGGGCUUAACCUGGGAAUGGCAUUGGAAACUGGCGAGCUUGAGUGCGGCAGAGGGGGGGUGGAAUUCCGCGUGUAGCAGUGAAAUGCGUAGAGAUGCGGAGGAACACCGAUGGCGAAGGCAGCCCCCUGGGUCGACACUGACGCUCAGGCACGGAAAGCGUGGGGGAGCAAACAGG